GAGUUUGAUCAUGGCUCAGAAUCAACGCUGGCGGCGUGCCUAACACAUGCAAGUCGCACGAGAAAGGGUCUUCGGAUCUGAGUAAAGUGGCGCACGGGUGAGUAACACGUGACUAAUCUACCCUCGAGUGGGGAAUAACCUAGGGAAACCUGGGCUAAUACCGCAUAACACUUACGAGUCAAAGCAGCAAUGCGCUUGGGGAGGAGGUCGCGGCAGAUUAGCUAGUUGGUGGGGUAAUGGCCCACCAAGGCGAUGAUCUGUAUCCGGCCUGAGAGGGCGCACGGACACACUGGAACUGAAACACGGUCCAGACUCCUACGGGAGGCAGCAGUGGGGAAUUUUGCGCAAUGGGGGAAACCCUGACGCAGCAACGCCGCGUGGAGGAUGAAGUCUCUUGGGACGUAAACUCCUUUCGACAGGGACGAUAAUGACGGUACCUGUAGAAGAAGCCCCGGCUAACUUCGUGCCAGCAGCCGCGGUAAUACGAGGGGGGCAAGCGUUGUUCGGAAUUAUUGGGCGUAAAGGGCGCGUAGGCGGUUUGGCAAGUCUCGUGUGAAAUCUUCGGGCUCAACUCGAAGUCUGCACGGAAAACUGCCGGGCUUGAGUAU
rnacentral:rRNA from 1 species